rnacentral:rRNA from 1 species
GGUUGCGAUCAUACCAGCACUAAUGCACCGGAUCCCAUCAGAACUCCGCUGUUAAGCGUGCUUGGGCGAGAGUAGUACUAGGAUGGGUGACCCCCUGGGAAGUCCUCGUGUUGCAACCC